rnacentral:rRNA from 1 species
AUGAACGCUGGCGGCGUGCCUAAUACAUGCAAGUCGAGCGAACAGACGAGGAGCUUGCUCCUCUGACGUUAGCGGCGGACGGGUGAGUAACACGUGGAUAACCUACCUAUAAGACUGGGAUAACUUCGGGAAACCGGAGCUAAUACCGGAUAAUAUAUUGAACCGCAUGGUUCAAUAGUGAAAGACGGUUUUGCUGUCACUUAUAGAUGGAUCCGCGCCGCAUUAGCUAGUUGGUAAGGUAACGGCUUACCAAGGCAACGAUGCGUAGCCGACCUGAGAGGGUGAUCGGCCACACUGGAACUAAGACACGGUCCAGACUCCUACGGGAGGCAGCAGUAGGGAAUCUUCCGCAAUGGGCGAAAGCCUGACGGAGCAACGCCGCGUGAGUGAUGAAGGUCUUCGGAUCGUAAAACUCUGUUAUUAGGGAAGAACAAAUGUGUAAGUAACUAUGCACGUCUUGACGGUACCUAAUCAGAAAGCCACGGCUAACUACGUG